rnacentral:rRNA from 1 species
CCUACGGGUGGCAGCAGUGAGGAAUAUUGGUCAAUGGGCGCGAGCCUGAACCAGCCAAGUCGCGUGAGGGAAGACGGUCCUAUGGCUUGUAAACCUCUUCUGUCGGGGAGCAAAAGACGCCACGCGUGGCGUUCCGAGAGUACCCGAAGAAAAAGCAUCGGCUAACUCCGUGCCAGCAGACGUGGUAAUAAGGAGGAUGCGAGCGUUAUCCGGAUUUAUUGGGUUUAAAGGGUGCGCAGGGGGAAGAUCAAGACAGCGGUACAAUUGAGAGGCUCAAACUCUUCGAGCCGGUGAAACUGGUUUUCUUGAGUGAGUGAGAAGUAUGCGGAAUGCGUGGUGUAGCGGUGAAAGGCAUAG